UGUUUUAUGUAAUUCUGAAAUUUUGUAAUAAUAAAUAAAUAAAAAAAAAAAACUAACUUUUGGCUUAAGAACUAGCUUUUGGCUGUAAAUUUGUACGCACGGAUCUUGGAAGUAGGUAACUCAUUUUAGAAGGAGGAAAAGGAUUGUUAAUAAUAAGAUCUAGCGACCCCAUUGCUAGCAAUGUACCCUAUUAGGUCAUCCUCCACACGAUUCCCCUUGGAAACCAUUGUUAAAUUCGUCACGAUGGGCUAAGGGAUGAUUUCCAUCCAACAACUCGUAUCAAUAUAUGAUCAAUACGAACGGAUGCGACGACUGUCAAUGACGUCCGGCAAGAUGUCGAUGCAUACGAUUGACUUCAUACUAUCGCUUGCGAACGUAUCCCUUUUCUGCGUCUAAUCAAACAGUUUAACUAAUAUUGUGCUGACGUGUUCUAAUUUUUGAAAAUACUUGAAGUUGACGUAAUAUUGUUGACUAUUGCAUUGGAAAAAGAAAAUAAUCACAAAACACAGAAGAAGGGGGAAAAUAAGUAAUCCGCCCUUUCACGGCUUUGAGCGCACACAACCACAGCCGAAAGGAACCGAUCAGAUAUAACGAUAGGCGAACUAUUAAAAAUAUUACAUUUAAUAUUGAGCAAUACGUGCAGUGGCAUAUGACCGCGCCGUUAAAGGAAUUCAAUUCUUGCGGAGUGUCACUUCUACCUAGUCUCUAUUUUUACGAUGCUUCCAUUCUUGGCAACUCACGUUAGUUUUCAAAACUCAUUUUUCAAUGCAUACAAAAUAUGAUUAAGGAAAGUGAAAAUGUUUGUGAGGUUUCGCGUUCGGCUUCAGGUUCGGUUUCUAUCUAAAAAAUUAACAUUACUUCAGAUACCUGCUUAUCUAAUCUAAUCAAGUCACAUGUGUAGUGCUGUGCCAAGUCGCCCUGACUUGAGUACUGGCUCGAAUAAGUGGUUCGUAAUAGGCCAGACUAAACGGAUAAUUUCUGAAAGAGUCGAGGAACUAUUACACUACAGUGAAAAAUUACCAAACUAGUACAUCAGCGAUUAUAGAACAUUUACUGGGAGCAGGUGCCAACCAUUGGAUUGAGUUUCACUGUCCACAAAUUCUUUCUGCGGAACAAAUUUUCUACAA